GUGAGGAAUUUUCCGCAAUGGGCGAAAGCCUGACGGAGCAAUGCCGCGUGAAGGAUGAAGGCCUAUGGGUUGUAAACUUCUUUUCUCAGAAAAGAAUUAUGACGGUAUCUGAGGAAUAAGCAUCGGCUAACUCUGUGCCAGCAGCCGCGGUAAGACAGAGGAUGCAAGCGUUAUCCGGAAUGAUUGGGCGUAAAGCGUCUGUAGGUUGUUUAAAAAGUAUUCUGUCAAAGAUUAGGGCUUAACCCUAGAUAGGCAGAAUAAACUUUUAAGCUAGAGUUUGGUAGAGGCAGAGGGAAUUCCCGGUGGAGCGGUGAAAUGCGUAGAUAUCGGGAGGAACACCAAAGGCGAAGGCACUCUGCUGGGCCAAUACUAACACUGAGAGACGAAAGCGAGGGGAGCAAAUGGGAUUAGAUACCCUGGUAGCC
rnacentral:rRNA from 1 species